GAUGAACGCUAGCGGCAGGCCUAAUACAUGCAAGUCGAACGGAUAUAUGUUUUUCGGAAUAUAUAUUAGUGGCGCACGGGUGAGUAACACGUACAUAACUUGCCCUCAAGCGGGGGAUAGCCUUGGGAAACUGAGAGUAAUACCCCAUAGAAUUAUUGGACGGCAUCGUUUGAUAAUUAAAACUACGGUGUUUGGGGAUAGAUGUGCGUCUGAUUAGCUAGUUGGUGAGGUAACUGCUCACCAAGGCGACGAUCAGUAGGGGGCGUGAGAGCGUGGCCCCCCACACGGGUACUGAGACACGGACCCGACUCCUACGGGAGGCAGCAGUAAGGAAUAUUGGUCAAUGGAGGGAACUCUGAACCAGCCAUGCCGCGUGAAGGAUGACGGCCCUCUGGGUUGUAAACUUCUUUUGGAUGGGGCGAAAAAACGGGAUUUAUCCUCGACUGACGGUACCAUAAGAAUAAGCACCGGCUAACUCCGUG
rnacentral:rRNA from 1 species